rnacentral:rRNA from 1 species
UACGUAGGGUGCGAGCGUUGUCCGGAAUUAUUGGGCGUAAAGAGCUCGUAGGCGGCUCGUCGCGUCGGCUGUGAAAACCUGGGGCUCAACCCCGGGCCUGCAGCCGAUACGGGCGAGCUAGAAUUCGGUAGGGGAGACUGGAAUUCCUGGUGUAGCAGUGAAAUGCGUAGAUAUCAAGCGGAACACCAGUGGCGAAGGCGAGUCCCUGGACAACUCCUGACACUGAGGCACGAAAGCUAGGGAGCAAACAGG